GCUAAUUGCACCAACAAAUAACUGAUGCAAUCUCGACUCUGUCGAAUAAAAUUCUAGGUAGGAUUAUGAUAAUGACAUUGUCUGCCUGUGUGUCUUGACCAAAUUACGUGCCAGCAGUCGCGGUAAUACGUAGAAGACUAGUGUUAUUCAUCUUUAAUAGGUUUAAAGGGUACCUAGACGGUAAAUCAAGCCUUCAAGGGGACUAGUUUACUAGAGUUACUUAUGAGGGGGUAUUAAAGUACUGCUGGUGUAGAGAUGAAAUUCUGUGAUACCUCUUUUCGUAAGAAAAACAAUGGCACAGGUAUAGGCGAAAGCAUCCCCUUAUGUGAUAACUGACGUUGAAGGACGAAGGCUUUGUGUAGCGAACAGGAUUAGAUACCCCAGUAGUCAAAGCAGAAAAUGAUGAAUGUCAUAGACUAGGCAUAUAAUAGUUUAUUCUAUAAAUGAAAGUGUAAGCAUUCCACCUCAAGAGUAAUUUGGCAACAUUGGAACUGAAAUCAUUAGACCGUUUCUGAAACCAGUAGUGAAGUAUGUUGUUUAAUUUGAUAAUCCGCAAAAAACCUUACCACAAUUUGAAUAUUUAUACUUUUUUCCUAAUUUAUUAUAUGAAAGGGAAAGUAUAUUUACAAGCGUUGCACGGCUGUCUUCAGUUAAUGUCGUGAGAC
rnacentral:rRNA from 1 species